rnacentral:rRNA from 1 species
GCGCAGCAGUCGAGAAUUUUUCUCAAUGGGGGCAACCCUGAAGGAGCGACGCCGCGUGGAGGAUGAAGGCUUUCGGGUUGUAACUCCUGUCAUUUGGGAACAAGUUGCGAGUAUUAACCGUGCUCGUAUUGAUAGUACCAGAAGAGGAAGGGACGGCUAACUCUGUGCCAGCAGCCGCGGUAAUACAGAGGUCCCAAGCGUUGUUCGGAUUCAUUGGGCGUAAAGGGUGCGUAGGUGGCGCUGUAAGUCGGGUGUGAAAUUUCGGAGCUUAACUCCGAAACUGCAUUCGAUACUGCGGUGCUUGAGGACUGGAGAGGAGACUGGAAUUCAUGGUGUAGCAGUGAAAUGCGUAGAGAUCAUGAGGAAGACCAGUGGCGAAGGCGGGUCUCUGGACAGUUCCUGGCACUGAGGCACGAAGGCCAGGGAGC